UCUGAUUUGGAGUUCACAGUAGGGUAUUAGCUGUGGAACCAGAUAUAGUGUUGGCUCAGGAGACUCAGAACAGGGCAGGCAUGGUCAGUCAUAUCUGCAAGCCCACUUUGCAUCAGCACAGGCAGCUUAAACUAUAGUCUUGGCAAUCUAAAACCAUUUAAAGCUAGGAGAAGGGAGGAAAGCAACUGCCUCAGAGAAAAGCAUGAAGGGAAUUUCCCACGCACCGCCCUAUUUAUUCAGGACAGCCCUCUCUCCUUCCACUAAGCAGGCUGAGGAUAAAGGCAGAAGUGGGCAGACAGCAGUGUAUACUCAGGAGGACAGAGAGCCUGUGGGAGUAAGCAAUCACUGACCUCUCAGAACCUGACAUCACAGGUAAUGAGAUGAAAGGAGGAGAGAGAAAGGAGGAGCUGCUUCUUGUUUUCUCACCAAGGGCCCCAGCAUCUUGAGAAGAAGGAUGUGUAACAUUGCAUUCCCUGACUCUGCCUGGGGCCCCACCCUGCUCUCUUGGGUUGCUGUCUUUCUCCUGGGAACAAAACACAUGGAGGCUGCAGUCACCCAAAGCCCAAGAAACAAGGUGACAGUUACAGGAAAAAAUGUGACGUUCAACUGUCACCAGACUGAUAACCACAACUACAUGUACUGGUAUCGGCAGGACAUGGGGCAUGGUCUGAGGCUGAUCCAUUACUCAUAUGGUUCUGGCAGCUUUGAAAAUGGAGAUAUCCCUGAGGGGUACAAGGUCUCCAGACCAAACCAAGAAAAUUUCUUCCUCACGCUGGAGUCGGCUUCCCCCUCUCAGACAUCUGUGUACUUCUGUGCCAGCAGUGAGGCACAGCAGUGCAUGGCCUCCUCCCCUCUGCACAGAAAGGAAAUUAGGAAAACAACUUGCAUGUGUGCCUCAGGAAGUCCCUGCCUCUAUAAGAGUUGCUGAGCUCUGACAAACUAGGACUCUUCCAGCAUGGCUUUCUAGCUACCCUCAGGUCAUUCUAACACCUUUUCGUGGAUGGUUGUCUUAACUCAACUUCUUGUUUCUGCUUUCAAAGACAAAAAUGAAUUUUUAAGAAGACAGUAUUCUUUUUUAUAACAUUCCUGGCUGGCCUGGAACUAGUAUUGUAGACCAAGCUGGCCUAGUAUUUAGAAGCUUGUGCAAUCAUGUCUGGCUGAAAAUGAAUCUUUCAUUGAAGUUCCUAAUGAUGCAUUUAUAACCUCACAGCCAUCAUUUCAGUCCCACUGGCCUGCAUUCAACUCUUCAGCCAUCUUACUAGCCAACUGAGUCACUUAGAUGAUCUCUUUCCAGACCAUGUUUUCGCUAUAGGUCUGCAGUCUCUUUUGUAUAGAACAAGAACCCAUAAUGUUGCAUGUCAUUUCCCUUCACUCGUUGGUGUCAUUAGCCUUUAACCAGCAUCCCCUGAUGUUUUCUUAAUCAGCAAAAUUUAUCUACAUUCAUGUUCUUCUUCAUAUAUGCUGUGGUAUUUUCUAGUCUGGAGAUUUUUUUCCCUAGGACAUUUCUUCUGCAUGGAAGACAUACCUUUCCCUCUUGUUUCUAAAUUCCUUCUCCCAGUGAAACUACAUUUCAGGUUUUAUUACUUUUCUUUUACCUUCUGAAGAUUUCAAUUUAUUAACAUUAUUUCCUCAUUCAGUUCUUCCUCUCGCAUGUUUUGUUCUCCUUUCAUAUUUUGUGACUUCUUUUUCUUUAAUUAUUAUUAUUUCUUUGCUUUUUAUAUGGAUGGUGUGAUUGAUUGAAUGAAUGAAUGAAUAAAUAAAUAAAUAAUAAAUAAAUAAAUAAAUAAAUAAAUUCAAUCUACAAACUC